rnacentral:rRNA from 1 species
GGGUUUGAUCCUGGCUCAGGACGAACGCUGGCGGCGUGCUUAACACAUGCAAGUCGAACGGAAAGGCCCUGCUUUUGUGGGGUGCUCGAGUGGCGAACGGGUGAGUAACACGUGAGUAACCUGCCCUUGACUUUGGGAUAACUUCAGGAAACUGGGGCUAAUACCGGAUAGGAGCUCCUGCUGCACGGUGGGGGUUGGAAAGUUUCGGCGGUUGGGGAUGGACUCGCGGCUUAUCAGCUUGUUGGUGGGGUAGUGGCUUACCAAGGCUUUGACGGGUAGCCGGCCUGAGGGGGUGACCGGCCACAUUGGGACUGAGAUACGGCCCAGACUCCUACGGGAGGCAGCAGUGGGGAAUAUUGCACAAUGGGCGGAAGCCUGAUGCAGCAACGCCGCGUGCGGGAUGACGGCCUUCGGGUUGUAAACCGCUUUCGCCUGUGACGAAGCGUGAGUGACGGUAAUGGGUAAAGAAGCACCGGCUAACUACGUGCCANCAGCCGCGNUGAUACGUANGGUGCGAGCGUUGUCCGGAUUUAUUGNNCGUAAAGGNCUCNNANGNGUNUGAUCNCNUCNNAANUGNAAUCUUG